UACGUAGGGGGCAAGCGUUGUCCGGAAUCAUUGGGCGUAAAGCGCGUGUAGGCGGCUAGGUAAGUCUGCUCUGAAAGCCCGGGGCUCAACCCCGGGAGGCGGGUGGAUACUGUCUAGCUCGAGUCCGGAAGAGGAGUGUGGAAUUCCUGGUGUAGCGGUGAAAUGCGCAGAUAUCAGGAGGAACACCAAUGGCGAAGGCAGCUCGCUGGGACGUUACUGACGCUGAGACGCGAAAGCGUGGGGAGCAAACAGG
rnacentral:rRNA from 1 species